rnacentral:rRNA from 1 species
CGCCUUGCCAGCCCGCUCAGAAACUUAAAGGAAUUGACGGGGCCCGCACAAGCGGUGGAGCAUGUGGUUAAUUCGAUGAUACGCGAGGAACCUUACCUGGGCUCGAACGUAAGAUGACUGUAGGUGAAAGCUUACAUCUCUUCGGAGCAUUUUACGAGGUGCUGCAUGGUUGUCGUCAGCUCGUGCCGUGAGGUGUCGGGUUAAGUCCCAUAACGAGCGCAACCCCUACCUUUAGUUGCCAUCGGGUAAUGCUGGGGACUCUAAAGGAACUGCCUACGCAAGUAGUGAGGAAGGCGGGGAUGACGUCAAAUCAGCACGGCCCUUACGUCCAGGGCUACACACGUGCUACAAUGGCCGAUACAGAGGGCAGCUACCUGGUGACAGGAUGCAAAUCUCCAAAGUCGGUCUCAGUUCGGAUCGGAGUCUGCAACCCGACUCCGUGGAGUUGGAUUCGCUAGUAAUCGCGCAUCAGCCAUGGCGCGGUGAAUACGUUCCCGGGCCUU